rnacentral:rRNA from 1 species
CUCAGAACGAACGCUGGCGGCAGGCUUAACACAUGCAAGUCGAACGCCCCGCAAGGGGAGUGGCAGACGGGUGAGUAACGCGUGGGAACGUGCCCUUCGGUUCGGAAUAACUCAGGGAAACUUGAGCUAAUACCGGAUACGUGCGAGAGCAGAAAGAUUUAUCGCCGAAGGAUCGGCCCGCGUCCGAUUAGCUAGUUGGUGAGGUAACGGCUCACCAAGGCGACGAUCGGUAGCUGGUCUGAGAGGAUGAUCAGCCACAUUGGGACUGAGACACGGCCCAAACUCCUACGGGAGGCAGCAGUGGGGAAUAUUGGACAAUGGGCGCAAGCCUGAUCCAGCCAUGCCGCGUGAGUGAUGAAGGCCUUAGGGUUGUAAAGCUCUUUCGCCAGGGACGAUAAUGACGGUACCUGGAUAAGAAGCCCCGGCUAACUUCGUGCCAGCAGCCGCGGUAAUACGAAGGGGGCUAGCGUUGUUCGGAUUUACUGGGCGUAAAGCGCACGUAGGCGGAUUUUUAAGUCAGGGGUGAAAUCCCGAGGCUCAACCUCGGAACUGCCCUUGAUACUGGAAGUCUCGAGUCCGGGAGAGGUGAGUGGAACUGCGAGUGUAGAGGUGAAAUUCGUAGAUAUUCGCAAGAACACCAGUGGCGAAGGCGGCUCACUGGCCCGGUACUGACGCUGAGGUGCGAAAGCGUGGGGAGCAAACAGGAUUAGAUACCCUGGUAGUCCACGCCGUAAACGAUGGAUGCUAGCCGUUGGGGAGCUUGCUCUUCAGUGGCGCAGCUAACGCUUUAAGCAUCCCGCCUGGGGAGUACGGUCGCAAGAUUAAA